AUUCCAGCUCCGAUAGCGUAUAUUAAAGUUGUUGCGGUUAAAAAGCUCGUAGUUGGAGUUCUGCCAGGUGACGCUCGUCCGCCCAAGUGGUGUGUACAGGGCGUGCAUCUGGCCUUAGUUGGCUGGGUCGCGGUUCCGGCGCUGUUACUUUGAAAAAAUUAGAGUGCUCAAAGCAAGCUUAUGCUCUGAAUACAUUAGCAUGGAAUAACGUGAUAGGAGUCUGGUCCUAUUGUGUUGGCCUUCGGGACCGGAGUAAUGAUUAAUAGGGACUGUCGGGGGCAUUCGUAUUUCAUUGUCAGAGGUGAAAUUCUUGGAUUUAUGAAAGACGGACCACUGCGAAAGCAUUUGCCAAGGAUGUUUUCAUCA
rnacentral:rRNA from 1 species